rnacentral:rRNA from 1 species
AGCAGUAGCCGCGGGAAUACAGAGGGUGCGAGCGUUAAUCGGAAUUAUUGGGCGUAAAGCGCACGUAGGCGGCUCCGCAAGUCGGAUGUGAAAUCCCUCGGCUUAACCAAGGAAGUGCAUCCGAAACUGCAGAGCUUGAGUACUUAAGAGGAUCGCGGAAUUCCCGGUGUAGAGGUGAAAUUCGUAGAUAUCGGGAGGAACACCAGUGGCGAAGGCGGCGAUCUGGGAAGAUACUGACGCUGAGGUGCGAAAGCGUGGGGAGCAAACAGGAUUAGAUACCCCCGUAGUCCCUGUCUCUUAUAC